UGUUUAUUUUAUUAUUUAAUAGUAACAUGAUAAUAACCUCUUUACUAUAACGAUGUUAUUUUCUUACGGCGAAAAAUGCCGAACUACUGCCGAAAUUGUUACGACAGGCUUAAGCAAUGCUUAAGUCAGGAACAUCCUGUGCUUAAAGUUAAAAGGCGACACUAAAAACCGCAAGACUCCGUACCUUUUGCGCAGGCGCGAAAUUGACUCCUGUCAAGAAUGUCUGAGAAUCGUCUUGCUGCCCUUUUUAAUAUUUUUAAAUCGUUCUAACCUCUAACUACAUUUUAGCCGUCAAUUCAAUUCAUGGUUAAUCGUGUGUGCUGAUUUAUUUCAUUCGGUUUUGGAUUUCCUUCAUCUGCAGAAUUGUGCACAUGCAACAGUGUUUAAUCUGCGCAUUAAACAAAGACUCAUAAUCAUUGUUUAAAAAGCGAAUUUAUUUGCUUUCUUAAAACAAUUAUGUACUUAUUUUUGUCUUUAGCUUAUGUGGUGCUGGUGUAAAUAGUGUCGAACAAUUUAAUGUAUUUGUUUAUAUUAUUAGGCAGAUGUUUUUACGUUAUAUUAAUCAUUUUCAAAAUCAGAAAAAUAUAAAUAAAGAAGUACAUCAAAACCGUGAAACGCAAUUGAAGAUAGCAAUGGAAACGUAUCGAAGUGCAAUGAAACAACUGGAUGAUGAAACCUUUCAAGAAGCACUCAAGGAAUUUGAUAAGCAUAUAGAAAAAGUUCAAAAACAAAGUAGAAAUUUAAGAAAACGUAAAAUGGCUAAACAGGAGUAUUUCCUAUCUAAGAAAAAAUAAAACGAUAAAGUUAACGAAAGCAAAAAGGAGUACAUUAGGAUUCACAAAACCAUUUUGUAUGUACUCUUCAGAAAGACUUAAU